GGGACUAAAUAAUUCCGUGCAAACUGGUUACCCUGGUCAGUACAGGGAAGAACAGCUUCACCAGCUUCUAAGAGUGGGAGCAGUUUUUACCCAGGAGAUGCAGACCAGAAAACGCAGCUCUGCAAUCAAAGAAGGCAUUUACGCAUGUAUGCUCUGCAGCAGCUCUGUGUGAAAGGUACUUAGGAUUCCCAGAGUUUGGAUCCCCAUCUCCCUGAGUCCAGGCAGGGCCCUUUAAAAAAACCUCUCCAGAGCCGAUCCUAAGUACCAGUCAGAGGUGCCACAAAACAGCACAUGAUGCAUCUUCCUCUCAGGAAAAGCGUCUAGCCUUCUGCAUUGCCAGCCUCUAUUGCCUGGCAAGGGAAGAGCAAAGAAACAGACUCUUUGCAAGGUGACAUAUUUCAAUGGCUUUAAAGAAAGAUUGCAGCUUCAUCUUAACCUACUUUUUGUACUAUUUACUGGAAUG